UGAUGUUUUUGCUGAUACCGAUGUUGAGUGAUGCAUCGAUGUUUUGCAAAACAUCGGUAGCUUAAUUUCAUAUCAUUGCGUAUUUGUCUUUUGAAAGCAGCAACACAGCAAUGCCAUAAAUGGUAUACAUUUGUUUAAAUAUGAAACUGCGAACGCCGUUAACAUCAUUCGAAGGCAACCCGUUGUGUGUUUGGGAAGGUAUGAAGAGUACUGUUCAGUCACAAACAUAUACCUUAUUAAGAUUACAGAAUAUACAGUACAAUCUCACACACAAAAACUCAUAGAUACAAUUGUCCAUGUCACGUCAUGUGAAUGAAUAUGACGACACGAAAAUUACAUUAGCAACUAAGAAUAGACAAUUUCACUUGUAAACUCGAACCCACCAAAAAGGAUGAAGCAAUAAACUAUGUACUUUGUUGCUGCCAAAUACCUAAGUAAAUGCACUGAAAUGUAACCCCCGCACAGAG